CUAGCCACCAGCCCUCUCACUCUGCGCUCUCUAUUCUCGAAACCCACUCCCACUCUCCCAACAGCCAGCACCUCCCACUCCCAACCUGCGUGAACCCCGUCCUCCCACCACCUCCCUGCGCCGACGAACCCCUUCCUCUCACCACCUCCCAGCGCUGCCGAACUCUUCCAGUUUUUCACACAGCGCCGCCGAACCCUUCCUCCCAGCAUCUCCUCGCGGACAGCACCAGCCAACACCAUCAUUGCGGAGCCAGCACCACCCCCCGCCGCCACCCACAGCAUCGUCUUUGGCCUCGCGGAGACGCGGACACUAGCCUACCCAGUAACCCCCAAGCCCCACCCCCAAACGGAGUACGAAACCUAGCCGCUCUCUCCCUAGGUCUCACAGCCUCGCUCUCUGCACCUCCCAGCUGUGGCGAGGGACCGUUCCGCCCACCACCUCGAGAGUUGUCAACGGUAGCUCCCAAUGGUACUGAAACUGAUACUAUGAAUGGAAUCAAGAAACCCUAAAUUGAGUCAAUAGCAUGCAGCAGGAAACCCUAAAUUGAGUCAAUAGCAUGCAGCAGGGAGGAGGAUCCGACACGGAAGUGACAUGGGAGGACGAGCAGAACAUCAAUAAGUUGGGAAGAUUGAACAAUCGCUUUCUGCUAGUCCCGCUCCUUCUGCUCCGCUCUCUUCGCCGGUCUUCUUCUCAGUAGUUUGAAAUUUGAUUAGUAAAGAGGAAGCUCUCCAACCGGGAUGGUUCAGGGAGUGGUUUGAAGAUGGGUUUGAAGGAUCCUCCUCAGGCAAAGUGUCCUCUCCAGCAGCUUUACGUGCCAUGUUCUGGGUUUUUGAUCUUUAGUGUUGAUGAUAAUUUAGUAAUGUGUGCUGCUGUGCAGUAUUUUCUUACCGAUUGACUUAGUUGUGGUGAAGAUGAUUUUAUUGAACGUUGAUCUUGCUGAUACUGCUUUGCAUGUAGUAGUAAAUACAGUUGAUAGUAGCUACGGUUCACAAUAACCGUCAUUUUAACCUUUGGUACAUUCAUAAAUCUAAUCAAUGUUUUUAGAUACAAAUUCAAUCCAUAUAUAUUGAUGUAUGAAUGUACAAAGUCAAAAUGACAAUUAAUUUGAGCUAGAGGGAGUAUGGUUUGGGGCUAUGCUGUUGUGUUGUAAGAUUUUGGAAAAAUAAAACAACUGGAAUGUGAGAUCUUGUAAAAGUUGCAUGCCUGUGGAUUUUGAGGCAGAAACUGCAAAUCUAGGAAAGUUUAAAACUUGUUUGCUUGUUGGGAUGCUAAUUUUACUAUUGAUCGACAUUCGACAGGGAAACCUAAGAACCCAAUAUGUUGGGUAACAUUACUCCAAUGUUUAGAUAGUGUGAUGAUCACGUUUAUUGGUCUUCCUUGUUUGAUUAGUGAUUACAUUUCUACAGUAUCAUAGUCUUCAUUCUUGGAACGUGUUCAAGUUCAUUAUACUUCCUAUUGAACUUGGUAGAAGUUUUACUUAUUGAUGGCAUCUUGAGUCCCGCAUUCAUAAAUCUGAAAGUUUUUUAUGUGCUUUCUGUAUUCUGUGAUUGUAGUUUACAUAUUUUUGUUUUCCUCAAGAACCUUCCUACUUUAUAAUUCUCAUAUGCAUUAUCAUUAUUAACCAUUGAACAGGAAGACAAGAUAGGUCUUCCGGGACUGGCUGUCAUGUGCCAGAAUCUUGCUCUCAAUAUUGCCCAAAAUAAAAGUAAUUUUUUUAUUAUUUAAUAACAUUUUUUAAAAAAUAUUGCUAAAAAAAUACUAUCGAAAUGUAAAAAAAAUAUUUUAAUUUAACAACAUUUAUAUAACUAUCAUAACCACCAUAAACAUAAACAUAUUAGAAAUUGCCAUUUUAAAAACCUAUAUCUAAGAAACUUCACAUAUUCCUAUGUCACAUCGACACACAAUGAUGGCCAUAAUUUGAAACCAUGCAUAAUGCUACAUGUACUAUAGUUAUGUAUAUACUUGUAAGCCUUAAUUAGGCACCAUUUUCAACAUGGAUGCUAACGUUUGAAUCAUGCAAUGUUGAAACCUCUCCUUCAUGAGCCACUCUGUUAUCUUUGCGCCUUCUCUUUUUCCCAUUUUUAUCUUCCAUCUCUUCUUCCUCUUCUCUUCCAUUGACAAAUGAAAAGAAAGAUUUGAUACGAGAAGAACGCGAAGAAGAAGAUGAUGAGCCUCCAAGGUUGUCAUUACUAGUAGUGUUGUUUGAAUAAUGCCUCUUAAAACGGUAGGUCAUUCUAAUAACAUGGCAAAGGAGAGCAAUGAAGCAUGCAAUGCCAAUAAGAAGGAAGAGGCCCCAAAAGCUCUUAGUCUCAAGCCUAUCUAUCCCUUGCUUUGCACCUUCUGAGCUACAAGCACUUCUUGUUAGCCAUUUGUCAUGAAUCCUUUGAAGAUCACCAUUCUCUGAUAGUUUUAGAAUAGCUGUUGACAUGUCAAUUGCUAAGGGAGAGUCUCUUGGAAAGGCCUGUAAAUAUUUAAAGAAUGUACCUCUUUUAGAAAUAUCUAAAAUAUCGAAAAUAUUUAGUAACAAAAAAAUUAGCCAAAAACAGCUGGAACGAAUUUGUUUUAUUUAAUAUUUAUUAAUUAUUGUAAUAAUUAACAAAUGUUAAAUAAAAUAAGUUUUGAUUGUAUUUUUUUAUCUCCUUAAUAUUAUCGCUUAAAUAUUUAGA